CUUCCCCUUUGUUUUUUUUUUUAAAUUAUGGAACUUGUUUAUUUGCGUUAUUUUAUCAUCAGUUACGGCAUUUUUGGAUCAUGAACUCUAACAAAGUUAUCCUUUUAAUCCCGACCUCACCAGACUCGAUGACUAACUGCACGCCGUUUUGUCGAAAUGUAAAUUUAUUGUUUUUUUUUUUUAAAUUUUUGGCAAAUUUCACUGGUGGAAGGAUGCUGCCCUUGAGAAUUUUAUGCAUUUUUAUGGAAAAUUUCAUCUUUGUUCAACUGUGGUAUCGAAGAAGGAAGUUCGGGUUGAGUUUUAACUUUGUGCGAUGGCCCCCACUGGUCAGAAGUUAACCAUAACUUGGGCAUUAGUGUGGAGGGAACCGUGGAAUUUGAUGUUCAGAGAAUUGACGAAAAGGUUGUUAUUCCUGUGUUUGCUAGGAGAAGGAAAGGCUGGGUUCUCUUUGUUGUGUGGCCGCAAGGCCACAUGGGUCGAGUUCUGAAAGUAGAGAAUGGUCGAUGGGGCCAAAUGAACCCAUUUGGAGAUCAAACACAAGUUACUCACCGCCGUCGUCAACAACAUGGGAUUACCAGUUACAGACUGAAGAGUUGAGAUAUGAGUUUGAUGAUGGUGGUGGUAUUGUGCUCGAUGAUUCAUCUAGCUCUUCAAGUAGUAAAGGAAGUAGGAGUUGGAUACAUGGUGAACAAGUGCUUGAUCAUCGAUAUUCAGCAUCUAAUGGUGGCUUUUCCUACUUUAACAGCCCUUCUGAUAGUUAUCUGUGCCAGCAGUUGAUGCCACCACCAGCUCAGGGUGUUAUUGUUAAUGACUACUUUAGAGAAUCUUCAUCCACGCCACAGACCUUCACGCGAGAGGGAACCUCAAGAGUUCCAGAAAGCGACUCUUUCUCCUCUCAAUCAGAUGACAGCGAGUACGAACCUGCAUCGAAGACUCACGCUUCCUCUCACCGCAGCUUUUCAAGUUGCUGCUCAUUCAUGUCAAAGCCUAUACACCCUUUCUCAUCCUCUGAGUACAAUGUCGAAGGUGAAGAAUCUUUCAGUGAUAUCUCCAUACCAUCUGAAGCUGAAUCCUUUUUCCAACCGAAGAAUGUUCUUGGAGGCUCAAGAUGCAAUCUUUGUGAAAGAUUUUUGUCUCAGAGAUCGCCAUGGGGAGCUCGUCGAAUAAUUUUGAGCGGAGAUUUGCCGAUAUCUAGUGUUCUAUCAUGCUGGCAUGUGUAUCAUGCCGAGUGUUUGGAGAGGAUCACUCCCAAGCCACAAAAACUCGACCCACCUUGUCCAGUUUGUGAGAAAUUUGAGAAUGGUCAUCGUGUGGAGCAAUGGGCUAUAUGUCGAUUGAAGAAUGGGUUACCGAGGCUGAGAUCGCUUGGAGAUGAGGGGACAUCGAGGGUUUGGAGUUGUGGAAAGGCGGGAGAUUGUGUUGAAAGGGCUGUUGAUGUACCGAAAAUGAGUAGUGGCAUGUUGUUAAGGGAUCGGGGGCGGAGCAAGAGGCAGCUUUCUUUUAAGAAGAAUCUAGGGAAGGAGAGGGCUGAGAACUCCAAAAGAAGUGGGUUGUGUUCUAGUUUGGCGCCGGGUCCAGCAUUGAAGAGAUGGUGAGCUCUUGCAGUAAGGUAAGAACUGAUAAUAGGAUCUUAUGUAGUUUAUAGCUAUUCUCACAUAAGGAAAUCCCAUAUGGUGGUGGGUUUGUGUUUGGGGUUGGUGGUGGUUAACUAUUCCUGUUUAUAGGCGGUUCAGGUCCGAGGGAGAUGUGAUGCUUUCAAGUAGAGGAUGCAUUGGCCUGUAACUAUUUACUUUAUAGACCACAAUGCUGUACCUGCAAGCUAGUUUUUUGAAAUACAUUCUACACUGGAAAAAGGAGCAUAGCAUACUCGUGACACGGCAUGAUGAACCGACACGUGACAAAUUCUGAAAAAUACACGAAAUAUAAAAUAUAUGAUAAGAAGUAUAGUAUCGUAUCUAUAGGGUUGAUUGCUUAUAGAGCCCGUGCGGUAUCACUGCCUUGGAUUGCAGCUCCAAUAUGGCAGCCCUGCGGUGGAUGUUUUUUACUUUUUUCGCCCUGGGUGAAAUUUUGGUAGAUAUUACCCUUAGUUGAAAUUACUGAGUCUGUGAGGUCAAGUGUUAAAAUUUUUAGCCCAAGGGGCCUAUCUACUAAAAUCAAACUACAAGGGGGUAAAUUCAAAGCGAUAAUAUUACAGGGGUUGUUCUCUGACAUCUAUGUGCAGUUGACGCUCUCUGAUAUGGUGUUCA